rnacentral:tRNA from 1 species
GCCCCCGUAGCUCAAUGGAUAGAGCAUCUGCCUUCUAAGCAGCAGGCUGUGGGUUCGAAUCCCGCCGGGGGCG